UUCUCCAGGGGAUCUUCCUGACUCAGGGAUCAAACCCAGGUCUCCUGUAUUACAGGCAGACUUUACCAUCUGAGCCACCAGGGAAUCCCAAUGUGUUUAAAUGCAGGUAAAGUCCCUUAUGUUAAGUUCAAAGUCCAUUCCCACCUAACUGCCUUUUUAUCACUGCAGGGGGUACUUGGGACUGUUAAUGGGACUCUUGCUUAUCCAAUCUCAUUCGUUGGUCUAGAUUCCCAUGCUCUUCUACUCAAUUUGCAUUAUAAAAGAGGGUACAAGGGACUGUUAAUGUGCUUAAAUGCAGCUACAGUCCUAGGAUCUCACCCCUCUCUACUCACUUGUGUUACUUGUUGGUAUUUGGGACAGAAAGGUGCUUAAAUGCAACUGUGGUCCAUUUUGUUAACCUAGGGUCCCAUGCCCUCUAACUCUUAACAUUACCUGGGAGUGUAUUGGGACUGUAGAACUGCUUAAUUGCAACUGUGGUCCCUUCUCUUAGUCUGGAGUCCAUGCUCUCCACAGUUUUGUUUAUAUUACCACAGAAGGUACUUGGAACCUGUGAAUGUGCCUAAAUGCAGAUGUGGUCCCUUUUGUUAGUUUAGGAUCCCAGGACUUCCUUUACAUUAUAUGUGAAGGCAUUUGGGACUGUCAAGGUGAUAAUUGCUGCUGUGUUCCCUUCUGUUGUUUAGGAUCCUGUUCCCUCCUACUUCCACUUCCUUCGCAUUACAUGGAAGGGUGCUUAACUGUAGCUAUGGUCCCUUCUGUUAGCCUAGUUUCCAUUCCCUUUCUACUUCCUUUGCUUACCACAGAAGGUACUGACUAUUGUGGUGCAUCUUAUCCUCUCACGUUACACCUUAGGGUCCCGAACACUAAGGCCCCUCUUUUUGCGCUUUUUAAUGUGCAGUUGCAUUUGUUCCUCUUCCUCUGCAGUGUAGACUCCACUCAUUUCCCUUGUAUUCAGUGGUGGAUGUCCUUUACUCAAGACCUUUGUACUAGAAUAAAGUCAACCACGACAAUUCACCACGAAUAUAUUCUUUCACUUCAGUCCCUUGUAGUCUGUUUUAUAUGAAUUACUGCCAUUACUUUUUUCUGGGAAUAUUUACAUGCAAAAUUCCAGUGUUUAAGGCCCUUCUGUUUUAAUUAAUAUUCCUCCCUUUUUGUGUUAUAUCAGGGGAUGUUAGUGACCCAAACUCUUUCUCUUGGGACUCAAUGUGCAUGUGCCCUCAUGACAAACUAACAUAUUGAAUUUUUAGUAUUAAAGCAGGGACUACUGACUAGUUUUUCUUUUGGACAGUUAAUGUGCAGAAUUAUACUAAGAACCCAUCCCAUUCCACCUCCUUUGCAUCAGGGGUCCUAAUCAACUGGCUGCUUCUUCUGUACAGUUUCAAUGUGCAUAAUUUCAGUAGUCCAUGCUCCCUUAUGUUAGACUAGGAUCCCAUAUCCUUGCCCCAUUUACAUUACUGCAGGGACUUCUGACUAGCUAAGAUUCACUGUCUUGGACUGUUAAUGUAUGCACUUAAUGUUUGCUCCUGUACCUGUACCUCAGGUAAGGACCCUCCCCAUUCUAUUUAUAUUUCAGCAGGAGAUGCCUACUAUUCAAGAUCUUACACACGAUUGCAGUUAAUGUGCACAAUCUUAGUUGUCUUAUACACAUUCUCAGUUGCCCACAGCUGUGCUUUUUAGAUCAGGGCCCUUUCACUUAUUGAAGCACAGGUUAACUUACCACCUUAAAGCCCUUGUUCUGGGACUGUGACUAUGUGUAAUUACACUAUGGUCUUCUGAGUUAACUUGUCUCCCUGACUCUUUCCAUCCCCUUUGCUUUACUGCAUGGGGUACUGUCCACUUAAGGCCCCUUUCUCAAAUAUGUGUAAUGACAAUUACAUUAUAGGGGCUUCAUACUUCCUUUAAGAUUCUUAUAUUUGUACAAGGUAUAUGAUUUUAAUUGACCACACCAUGUCCCUCCAACAUUAAUUUACAUAAUUGCAACUUAGUUGAUCUUAUCCUGUUGCCUUCCCUUUCCUUAGCUUGUGAAUGUACACUCUUGUGCACUAGACAAGGACCCUCCCCCUCACUUCCUAUGCCUUCCAGUAAGUUUGCCCAUUGCUAAGACCUUUCCAUUUGGACAAUUAAUGUGCAGAGUUGCACUUUCCCAUAACCCUAUUACUUCUAGGACUAUUGUAUCUCCUUUGUAAUAGUGCAAGGGAUACUGUUUCCCCGCCAAGAUCCCUUACUGUUAGUAUACGUAAUAGAAAUUCUUGUCUUUAUCAGUAUACUUUGGUAAUACUCCCUGAGCCAGCUAUCAUGACCUCAGCUCUUGGACAAUUAAUAUGCACCAAUAAUACAUCAAGUGUAUGAUCUUUAGAUAGGAUCCCUGUACCCUCACUAUGAAUCAGGAGUACUGACUUAAGGCUUCUUUUUUUGACUCUGGGUGUGAAUAUUUGCAGUUAUCCGUACACCCUUCUAUUAGAGUAGGACAUCAUUCCCACAUACCCCCUUUGCAUUACUUCAUGGGCUGCUGAUGACACAAAACUUUUACUGGGACUGCUGAUGAGCACAAUGGCAGUUGGCAAUGGGUUUUUCCUCCCUGGUCUUGUUAGGCAAGCACUCCCAGCUCCAAUUUCUCAUGGUAUAAUAAAGUAUAAACACUGCACUAUGCUGUCAACUUGUCCAUCAAAGGGCGACCCACAUUCCCACUCCUUUUGCGCUGGCUCCAGUGUAUCAAAUCCCAAGUAAUCAUGGCCUUUCCCUUAUCUUCCCUCUUCAAACCCCUUGUCUGCCCUUGAACCCUUCUUAUGGAUUUUUAAUGUUCACAAUUUCAGGUGUCCAUCCAUCCAGAUAAGAUUAUGCUCCCUCACCCCUCCCACCCCUGCCCUGCCCCUUUUGCAUUGUUGCUGGGAAAUGUUGACUGAGCAAAACUCCUUCCUCUUGGAUUUACAAUGUUAACAGUCCCAGAUGUCAUUGUUUUGCCCGCUUUGAAUUUCUAUAAUUCCCUGUUGCACUUCCCUUGGUCCCACCCAUCAGGCACGGACUCUUCCACUUCCUUCUUUGCAUUACUUCUGAGUAGUGCUGACCACCACAGCCCCUUCUGUGUUAUUAACACAGUAUUGAUUGUCCCAUUUUUAAGCCCAUCAGCCCAAGAUCUCCCUACCAUUUUGAUGUUAUAUUUGUGCAGUAUGGACUACCAAAAGCAGGCCAGAACUAGGUGACUGGGCCUUUACUCCUUUUCCUGCAUUUGUUAAUGAUCCCAGUUCCAAUUAUUGUCAUAUUCUGGGGACAGAACCAUUCCUGAUCCCCUCUGUUACUGCUUUACUAAGCAAAAUGCUCAAGGCAAGUCAGACCCAAGGGAACUGGAUUGCUACCCUUUAUUUGGGGUUUUCAUUAUAUAUAAGUAUCAUUUGAAAAUUGACUUCCCAGGAAGGAAGGUUAUCACUAUCUGUGCAUUCUUCCUUUCAAAGCAGAUUGCCUGGCUAUGUCUCUCCUUUCCUUUUGUAUAUUGCCAUUGUAUAGUGCCAAUUGCCAGGAUACAACCAAAAAGUUUCUUUUUUAGUUUUUAAGAAAGACAUCUGGAUUGCAGGGUGGAAUUGAUAACCUGGUCAUUGAAAUUUUGAAGUCGGUAAACCCAUUUAUAUUAUGUACCUGAUGACCAGUGUCUCUCAUUUUACUAAGGGUGGUGAGUCUGUGGAUAGACCACUGUGACUUUGAUAUUAUAAUAUAUUACUAAAGGAGUUCUAGAGUGGAACUCUUAAGACCAGUAUCUUUGGGCUCUACCACCAUUUUCAAACCACUUGUUGUUUGGGCUUUACCAGUAUUCACUUCUAGGAAAAACUAUCUAAACUUCCUAAUCGUUAAAUUUCUUCAUCUGGAGUUCCAACUAGGCUGUACUUAUUUCAAGAAGAUUGCUGUAAAAGGAUAAAAUGAGAGAACAUGCUGAGGUGCUUUUGAAAACCAUAGAUCACUUUGUUUGAUUAAUCUAUUACAUUUUAUGUACCCUGUUUAAUUCUGCUAUUUUAAAGUUACCUAAAGCACCACACUGAAGUGAGGACUUAGAAACGAUGGAACCAGUUUCCCCAUUUUAUAUGAAAAGAAAAAUAAGCCAAGGUCUAAUCAGUCUUUUGGAUAUAAAUUUCAAUAGUGAAAAUGAAUACAAUGAAUAAUAUCUCAGCCUCUAGUGUACAAGGUGUUUGGCAGAGAAGUAUUUAGUAUGGAACUGCUGAAGCCAGUAACUAAUUAUCACCACAGCAGUUCUUUCUAAUCACUGAAAAAGGAUACUGUUGUCUGAGAAGGAUGUCAAAAGAUCGGCCCAGCUCAGGGUGCAGUUUGCACUACUAGCUCCUUGGACAGCUGUAAGAAGAGUCUCUGGCUCUUUAGAAUGCUGGAUGAAUUCUGAGCUGGUUCCCCCCACUCAAGAGGAAGGAUGGAUCAAGUUUAGGUGGAGUGAAGGCUGCACUGGACAGCAUCCAAAGGACAUUCCAAGCAUAUCAGACCUGAAGACUGCAAGCAACUUUAAGAAGCUCCGUAUUCAGCAGGUCUUUCCUUUUGAGAAUCUGAAUAAGCUCCAAGCAAUCUAAUAGGAUGGCUUGCAGUUUCCCUGGAGAAAAAGAUCUACCUCAAAAGAAUAGGCCUGUUGCUUUACAGUGUUAGUGACCCAUUCCCUUUGACGAUUCCUAGGUGGAGAUGGGGCAUGAGGAUCCUCCAGGGGAAAGAUUCACUACCACUGAGCAACAACUCUAGGCCAGGAGUUUAUACCAAGAUUCUUUCCUGGGCCCAGUUAAGAAGGUGGAGUCUCAAGACAACCACCACACAUCCAGAGCUCCUGGUUGUUCCCUUCAUAUUUGCCAAAUCAUUAUCUUUCCCUGAAGCAGUGCAAAGAGCAAGAAAUGUGAACACACCAAGGAAGAUCAACGUGCCUGGCAUGCUAGCAUUUUAGAAUAGCAGAAUGAAUGUGUAUUUGUUUGCUUGUCUAUUUCUUCUUUGAAUGUCUUUGGUCUUUCUUGUCUAAAGUAUGUCUUACCCAUUUCCGUGAUUCUCUUGCUAGUUUCUUCUCUGUAUAUCUUUGUCUCAUUUACUUUUUUGUACCCAGGAGUGGUCUGUGUCUUGUCUUGAAUGUCUCUCUCUAGUUUUCUUCAUUUUGUUGCUGAUUCUACUUGCUCUGCUAGAUCUAGCUCUUCUUUCACUGUUCUCUUUGAGCCUCUUGAGUUAUGUGUGCCUUGUGCUCAUUUCUUGCUAUGCCUGCCUCUCUUCCUUUUCUCUUUGUGAACUCUGUCACCCAUUCCCCUUGUUGGUUUGACAUUUCACCUUUUCUGAUACUGGCUACCCUCUGCUGUUUCUACUCUUUAUCUUGCAUAUUUCUCUUUUCUACAUAUUCUUUGUGCCUUUCUUGGGCCAUUUUCUCUUUUUUCCCCAUGCUUUGUGUGCCCCAGUGUCUCUUUGUUCUUUGUGGUUUUCAGUUUCAGCAUUCAUCUCUGUUCUCUUGGUUCUUCUCUCAUUUUGCCUUUCUAUUCUCUUUUGAGUAUUUCUUUAGUCUAUGUCUCCCCCUCUUCGAUUUCAUGCAAUUCUCCUUGCAUAUUUUUUUGUGCAUUUUUGUGUGUGUGUGCUCUUUUGUGUGUUUGUAAAGGCACCUCCUAACUGCUUCCAGUAGGUGCAGAGUGUCAGCUAUCAAAAUAAGCAUUGCAGAGCUGUUCCUUAUGCCAGGCCACCCUGUGAGAUGAACCAAAACCAACAGAAGGUCCAAGGGUCUAGACUGAAGUUGGAUAGAAGACUCAAGUCUCAGUGAGACAGAAGGCCAAAGACCCAGGAUGGGAUUAAAAAAACCUGUCUUGAAGACCUGUGACCCAAAAGAUGGAAGUGCCCUAGCACACAUAAAGACCCAGGACUCAAACGUAUCUAUAUAAGACAGAAGGCCCAAGAGAGACAGAUAUUUCAAGACUAAAUUAGAUGGAAACCGGAGGUUCAUGACAGAGAUACCAGGAAAGAAAGAAGCCCCAGGACCAAAGGAAAUUCCAAGAUGAGACUCUUAAACCCCAGCUCUUUUCUAUUGCUAACCCUAGUCUUGGACAUUUUGAAUUCUCCCUUCCUUAUGUCUCCAUUUAUAUCUACUUCUUUUGAGAUGUCCUUUUUGAUGUUGCUGUUACCUUUAAAAAAAACAUAUCUUUAGAUCAGUAAUAUUAUGCUUUGGCCUGUUUUUAUUACAGUUUUGAGCCACUUAUUAAGUUUUUGAAGUUUUAAACUUCCAUUUCUCUUCACCUCCUCUCCACUUGAGAGGGACACAUAGCUGACAUUAUAUUUCAGUCCCCUCUUUCCUCAGAAGCUCUAGGCUGAUGAGAGAAGGAAAGUAUCAGGUUCAGUUAUUGAGGGGAAACAAAGUGCCAAGCUAAGUAGAGAAAAUGUGAAGAGAUGCUCCACAGGCCAAUGAGAAUUAGACAAGAAAUACACAGAUGUGCCAGUUUGCUGAGAAGUGUGAGCCAGCAACAUGUUACUUAUUUGAGCUUGGGUGAGCAGGACACCUGAGGUUUGGGAUUCUUACUGAUGGUUAUGAAGGAGGAUUGGGCCUAACACAUAAUGAGGCCCCAAGGAAGGAGCGUGAACUCCCUGCUCAUAGUAGUGGCCUAAUAAUGUGGUAAGCUGCAUAAGUUUUAUCCCUUGGUUUAAUACCCACCUCUAGGCUUAAAGGUGAGAAAAUUUGGGAAUAUUUAGCAGGUUUAAUCCUUUCAUUGAUUUUUUUCCUUUUACCAUAAGGAAAGUUAAUUUUAGUGAUAAUAUAUAUGAAAGCACUGUAAAACACAAAAAAAGCAAGACAUUCUCAUUAAUAAUGUAUUGGCACUCAUGCAUAGCUAACAUUUGAAAAUGCAUUGUCAGUUGUGAAGCAUUAUGUAAAUCAAGGGUUAUCACACCCUUUUUGUAAAGGGUCAGAUGGCAGUUAUUUUAUACUUUGCAGGCCAUAUGGUCUCUCUCUGCUUUUUUUUUGUUUAAAGUGAAUAUGGUCUGUGGGCCACAGUUUAUCACCCCUGAUGUAAUUUGCCAGGGACUGUGUGCUGAAUGAUAUUAAUUUCUUUCUUUGUGCCUGUCCCUGUAUGCAUUAAGGAUGCAAUGAUUACGUCUGGUCAUAUCCAGGUGAUAUGAAGAAAAAUAUAUGAAAGUGAGUUAUAAACUAUUAUGCACUUUAAAAGCUUGUCACAAUUUUCAGAGUUGAUGAAUGAACAUUGAUUACAUGGUAUAUACAUUUCUAGGCACUGUAUAUACAAAGAACAAAAGCGUGAAUAAAGUACUUUCUCAAAAGUAUGAAAUACUGUACAGAUAUUAGGAAUUAAGUCUAUGAUAAAUGAGUAAUUCAUGUAUUUGUGGCCAUUGUGUUUCUGUGGCUCUGGUGAUUUUGAGUAAAGAUGUAGUAUUCCAAGUCACAGAAAAGAAAACAUUGUUCAGUCGCUAAGUCGUGUCUGACGCUUUGUGACCCCAUGAAUUGCAGCAUGCCAGGCUUCCAAACCCUUAAACUAUAAAGUAUACUGCAAACACAAGGGAUUUAAGCUAUUGUGAUUACUUAUAAUGUGCCAGAUAACAUCCUGGGCACUACAGAUGUCAAAGGGAAAAAAAUGUUCUUAUUAUAGAAUGAUUAAAAAUUUUAGAUAGGCAGAACAUUUUAAAGUGCUUUGUACUAAAGCACUGUAUAAAUACCAAUGGGCUAUAUGUUUAUUAAUGAAUGAAUAAGUAUUAAUUUCCUUAUAUAUGCCAGCUAUUGUUUCAGGUACUGUGAAAUCCAAGACAAUGCUCCCAAGUAAUAAGAGGGAUGUUUAUGUCCUAUACUACUUAGACAUAAGGAAUUAGAUAUUACUUUUUUUAAUCAAUAAAGACUUUACUGAUGAUGUUGAGCUAAAUUAUUAACAGUAUAUUUUCCAAGGUAACAGGAAAAUGUAAUGAAUGAGAUUGAGCUUUCUAACUAUAAAAUGCUACAUAAAUACAAAACAUUAGGUGUUUUCUUUGUGAACAAAACUUAUGUUGAGACAGACAUUUGUUUGUGUGUGUUAGUCAUUCAAUCAUGUCUGACUCUUGCGACCCCAUGGACUGUAACCCACCAGACUCCUCUCUCUGUGGAUUUCUCCACACAAGAAUACUGAAGUGGGUUGUCAUUCCCUUCUCCAGGGGAUAUUCUUGACCCAGAAACUGAACUCAGGUCUCCUGCAUUGCAGGCAGAUUCUUUACCAUCUGAGCCAUAGAUGCUCAUUGUGUGCUUGACCCACUAUGAGAAAGGUAGUAUAAAUCUCUCAGUAUACAAACUGAGAGUUUAAAUACUUGGUAAAUGAAUGGGUCAUUAAUAUUAGUUGCCUACUAUGUGAACUCACAGUUACAGGCACUAAAGAGACACACAAAUUUAUUAUUUUAUUGUGCCUACAGCUGAGAAUAGGCAAUACACAUGUUAAUAUUUUGUGAACUCUAAAAGCACCAUAUAAGUGUAACUAUUGAUUUCCUCAGUUGGUAUGCCUAAUACUAGGCUUGCAAAAUUGUUUCAUAGUUAUUAUACCAUGAAAAAAGUCAGAAAAAAUUUGAGCAAGGAUUAUUAAUUAUUGAACACUUCAAAUAUGAUACAUAAAGGACUAAAUGUCUGACGAAUGCAAGACUGGAUGAUAAUUAUGUGCCAGUCUCCUUGAUAAGCAUAAGAGAUAUGAAGAUAAUCCAUCUUUACUGUGUUCUGGGCAGCAGAAUGUAAUAUAUAAAAUCAAUUUGUAGGUCUUAAACUGGCAUACAUAUAUAAGCCAUAUCUGCUGAAUGAACACUGAUUACUUACUCUCUCUUAUUCCAAGAGAUAGCAACUAGGGAUGCAAAAAUUCAUUGUCAUUAUUGUUGAACCUGCAACAGAGAUCUGUGUAAAUUUUACAAAGCUUACUGUUCUAUACAGAUCUAAAGAAUUAACUGUUGACUUAAUGAAUGGUUACUGAUUACUUUCUAUCUAUAAAGCUCGGAACUGUGUAUGCUCUAGGAUAUAAAAUGACUCUCCUUAUCAGAUGGUGUAAAUAACAUGUGUUGGAAUCCAGACUAAAAGUUGCUUAACUAUUGCUCAGCUUAUUUGAUGAUAAAAACAUGGGCAGAAUGGAAUUGUGCAAGGCAGUAUGCUGAAUGCUGAGCUAGGUGGAAAGAUAAAAUCCAGACCAGAAGGCCACUUGCUCCCUGGCUGGACUGAAGGAAUGGAAUUUUUUUGUUUCUUUGUUUAAAGAGCAAGAUGUUGUCAUUCUCCAUUGGUCUUUUAAAUGCUGAAGAUGGAGGUGAAUUCAAUCCACUCUGGCCUGGCAUAGAGACACUGAAAGAGUAAAAAAUGGUUCAGGUUGGCUUUUAGAUUAAUUUGAUGAACAGUGUCUUCUAUGUAAAAUACAUCAUUCUAGGUCCUGAGCAUAAGAGAUGUGAAAUGGGCCUAGUCUAAAGGGCUUUAGAUAGAUCAAAGAUCAUAACUGAAGAUCCAAAAACAUAUUUGAGUUUUGAGUAAAUAUUUGAGUUCCCAUUCCCUAGAUCCUAUUCUUGUUCCUUGAAUUCUUGUUCCUAUUUUCUUGGUUAAGUCUGGUCCAGAAAACCUAUUGACUUUCCUUGGAAACUUAAAAAAUAGAAAAAAAAUAUUGUUCUUUCAAUGUAAAAUGAAGAUAUAUUUCUUGGCUCUAGAAAGUAUCAAUGUCAUGUGCUCAUUGACCUAGAUUGAAGCCAGAAGAUUAAUAAAAGGCCUCAGAGUUUGUCCUUUAAUUCAUUAAUAUUCUGUUUUUAUUAUAGUUAAAUGGGUAAGAUGACAAUUAGGAUUAUUAUGGCAUAGAGUCAGGAAGAUGAUAAAAAAGAUCCUUCCUAGAUUUUCCAUAUUUUGUAAAUUAUUCACUUGAAUGAAGUACUGUUCUUAAGUGCUGAGGAGAAUGAAGAGAUUUAAAAGACCUAGACCAAAAUAUACUUUAAUUUCACUAGUUCAUGGAGGACACACAAGAACAAAUUUAAUAGGAGAUUGCAAUUCUUUCAUUAGUUGGAAAAACUAAAGUAGCUGUGAUGUUAAGAUACUGAGAUGGAAUGAUUAAACAGAUCACCUUCUCUUUGGCAUGUUUUGUAGAGAAGGAAUAAAAAAGCUUUUCAGUUAUUCAUACAAGCAUUGAAGAAGGUGAUGCUAAAUAAAAUAGAUCUGGUAAAAAGGUAAUUGUCUUGGAGAUGCAGUUAAAAAAACAUGAAAUGGAGUGAAACUUCAUUGAAUGAGUGUCUAUUUCAAGGCAUUGUGCUAAUUCCUAGACAGAAAACAAAAUAGAUCUUGACUGAAAGACACUUACUUGACUUGGAAACUGGUAUAUAAGAGAAAAGGUUAUUGUUAAUUAAUUUUUAAAAUUUAUUCAUUCAUUCUGCAAGUAUGUUUGAGUGCCUAUUGUAAAUAAGCUCCUUAGCUGGAUUCUAGCUGGGUUCUCUAGCUAGCCCCCAGAGAGAGACAUGAGAAAAUGAAUGCCUUCCCAGAGAACUUAAAAUUUGCCUUUUGGCCUGUUUUCUGAUCAGGGCUAAAUGGCUUACUUCCUUAAUAAUAUUGUGUGGUUUAAUUCCUACUCCAUCUUAAGCCACUCUGGCCACUACAAUAAGCAGGGGUUUUUACUGAACUUGCUCCUUAAGUUGCAGGAUCCUUCCUUAUAAUAAAACACUUCAGUUUUCCUAACCCAUCCCUCAUGAAAACUGGUUGUGACCAUAGUGAACCGAAAGAGGGAUGAGAAGCAACUGAUUCCCAAACUUCAGUCUUGUUGGUACCAACAUUGAAGAACCACUCAUACUCAAAUCACAAUUGGUUUUGAAACACACUUACAGUUUUGUCUAUGACAAAUAUACACUGCAUAAGUCUUUUUUAAAAACAAUCCUCCAAUAUUACUUAGCAAGUUUGGAGAUGGAGACAUGAUUUGUGUUUUGCAACAACAGCUUCUCAACUAACAACUUAGAAAUCUUUUCUUUUUCACCAUCAAAACCUGCUUAAGAUAAGCCUUGAAAAUAGCCUAACAAUUUUACCAUGCUUAAGUCUUAAGAAUAAUAGAAAUUGAAAGUAUUUGGCAAAUAUUGGAGGGAAAAAAUAUCUACAUAUAGGCCCAAAUGGGCUUUGGCCUUUUCUAUUUUUAAAUCACUCACAGAGGGUGGGAUAGGAGGAAGAGUGAAAGAAAAGGUCAAGCCUGAUUCUAAGAAGGGUUGGUCUUAAAAGCAUUGCUACCUCCAGAUCUAACUUGGGGAUUGCUGUUCUUAGUGUAAUUCAAUUUUAAUAACUGGUCACUGUUAAGAUGAGGACAAAGUCCUUUGUCCCUACUCAUUUCUAAAAGUUUGGCUUAAUGGCUAUCAGUUAAGCCUGGGGUUAUAUAAUUAUGGAAUUUAUUAAAUCUAUGUGACCUCUCCAUCAUAAGGUAGUCUUAAAGCUAAAGUCAGUCCACUACAUAGAAAGAGGACUUUGUCAUUCACUAUAAUUCAUACAUACUUUCAAAGCAUCUAAACUUUAAAGUUUACAUGGCAAGACAACAAUACCAUCUGUAAAUAUAGAAGGAAAUAGAAGAAUGGCAGGAGAUAGUUGAUGGAGGUAGCGAAUUUGAAGGUCAUUUGCGGUAAUGUUUGUAGUUUUUCCUUUGUACAUUUUUACUUAGGUGUAAGGUGUAUCUGAUAUUAAUAAUGUUUGUUGUUUAAUAUGUACUAUUAGCUGGACUCAGUAACUCCCCUUUCUCCAGGUAGGGAUGAGAGAUGCAUUAUUGGAAAGGAGAAAGUAACAGUCUUCGUUUCACAGUUUCUGGCAUCCCAAGGCCAGCACUACCAAUAAACAAGAAUAAUAGAACUUUCUGUCAUCUGAUUUUUGUGGCAUAAAUGAAAUUGUGAACAAAUUUUUUUUCUUAAGAAGAAGAAAUGGCUUUACAUCUACCCUUUUACCUUAAAAGGAUCUAUGCCAAAAUGCUCUGAUGAAUGGAAGACACACUUGGACUUGUGAACUGAUGUGAAACACAUAAUAUCUAAGCCUUGGUUGUUUUGAAGAUUGAAAAUUCUUGUUCAGUUCGGAUAACCACCAAAAAAGCAACCUAAAGCUGUCUAUAUGUCACAACUGAGACAAAUUGGGGAGUUUGUUUAAUGUCAAAUAAAAAUAUACUGUUUUGAAA